rnacentral:rRNA from 1 species
AUGUUGAUAGUGUUUGCUAGUUCCUUGAGGUUAUUAGUAACCUUUGCGAUAGUCCUCGAGUUGCCGCCGUGGAUUCGAGAAAGUCAAUGUUGCUUUCUUUGGAAUCAUUUCAAAUCAGUCAUGCACACGUGCGAAGAAUUCUGUAGUUUGAAGACUUGCAACCUUCAAUCUAUAUGUAUCCCUAGCACACCAAGCCACUGA